rnacentral:lncRNA from 1 species
GCGCAAAGCUACAGCGCGGCAGCGGAGGAGAAGCAGCAGCCGCAGCUACCUGGGAGCAGGCGGAGCCGUCGUGCGCAGCGCGGGGCUGGGCGAGCCGGAGGGGCCGGCCCGGGGGAAGGGAGCCGAGGGCUGCAGCCAGUCGCUCAGUGCGGCCAGCCGGUCCCCUGGGUGCCGCAGGCGGGCGGCGCUCGGCUGCCGGAGGCGAGAGGGAGCCGCGCAGGGGCGGGGGAGCGGGGCUGUGGGUGUGCGCGCGCCCCGGGGGCUGCUGCUGCUCCCUCCUUCAGCCUCCCCCCGCCCGCUCUGCCUCUCUCGCCACGGCCAGCGGCUCCCGUUUGGCAGCGGAGAGGAGCGGGACUCGGCAGUCGUCCCCCGCCCCACGCGCCCGCCCCAGUCCUAAGAAGAUGCACUAAAAAGCGGGGAGGAAGGGGCUGGGGGGGGGGCGAUUGGGCUCCUGCAACUGCACCAGCCCAAGUGGGAGCCAAGGCUGGAGAAUCGAUUGCGUCAUUUGGGGGGGUUCCCCCCUUUUUUCUUCCCCGAGCCGGAUUGAUCUACCUGCCAGUCUGUGCAGCUCUCCCCAUCCAGGGCUUGCUGCAAACUGUUUUCAACUCUCCUCAUUCAAUCCAGCAGCCAGAGGCCUAUGAAGCUCUGUCAUUUCAUGAGAUUCAGUCACACAUACCUGAAGCCAUAUAUACCUCUCAAACCGGGGCAAUGAUUGGCUGGUGUAAUAUCUCUUGUUCAGUUAUCAACGCUUAUAUGAACUACUAUAUGGGUAAGGUUUAA